UACGUAGGUGACAAGCGUUGUCCGGAUUUACUGGGCGUAAAGAGCGCGCAGGCGGUCGUUCAAGUCGAGUGUGAAAGCUCCCGGCUCAACUGGGAGAGGUCCUUGCAUACUGGCGAACUCGAGGGAGGCAGAGGAAAGUGGAAUUCCCGGUGUAGUGGUGAUAUGCGUAGAUAUCGGGAGGAACACCUGUGGCGAAGGCGGCUUUCUGGGCCUUACCUGACGCUGAGACGCGAAAGCGUGGGGAGCGAACCGG
rnacentral:rRNA from 1 species